GACGAACGCUGGCGGCGUGCCUAACACAUGCAAGUCGAACGAGGUCCAAGGGAGCUUGCUCCCUGAAGACCUAGUGGCGAACGGGUGAGUAACACGUGAGGAACCUGCCCCGAACUCUGGGAUAACUCGAGGAAACUCGAGCUAAUACCGGAUGCCCUCAACUGGUCGCAUGGCCGGAUGAGGAAAGUUUUUCGGUUCGGGAGGGCCUCGCGGCCUAUCAGCUAGUUGGUGAGGUAACGGCUCACCAAGGCUACGACGGGUAGCUGGUUGGAGAGAACGAUCAGCCACACUGGGACUGAGACACGGCCCAGACUCCUACGGGAGGCAGCAGUGGGGAAUCUUGCGCAAUGGGCGAAAGCCUGACGCAGCAACGCCGCGUGCGGGAUGACGGCCUUCGGGUUGUAAACCGCUUUCAGCAGGGACGAAAAUGACGGUACCUGCAGAAGAAGCUCCGGCUAACUACGUGCCAGCAGCCGCGGUAAAAC
rnacentral:rRNA from 1 species